rnacentral:rRNA from 1 species
UGGGGAAUAUUGCACAAUGGGCGCAAGCCUGAUGCAGCGACGCCGCGUGGGGGAUGACGGCCUUCGGGUUGUAAACUCCUUUCGCUAGGGACGAAGCUUUUUGUGACGGUACCUAGAUAAGAAGCACCGGCUAACUACGUGCCAGCAGCCGCGGUAAUACGUAGGGUGCGAGCGUUGUCCGGAAUUACUGGGCGUAAAGGGCUCGUAGGUGGUUUGUCGCGUCGUCUGUGAAAUUCCGGGGCUUAACUCCGGGCGUGCAGGCGAUACGGGCAUAACUUGAGUACUGUAGGGGUAACUGGAAUUCCUGGUGUAGCGGUGAAAUGCGCAGAUAUCAGGAGGAACACCGAUGGCGAAGGCAGGUUACUGGGCAGUUACUGACGCUGAGGAGCGAAAGCAUGGGUAGCGAACAGGAUUAGAUACCCUGGUA